AUCUAAAUAGCUUAAAAAUUAAAGUUUAAUAUUGAAGAUAUUAAGAUAAGUGAAAACUUUUUAGGUA
rnacentral:tRNA from 1 species